AUUGAACGCUGGCGGCAGGCCUAACACAUGCAAGUCGAGCGGCAGCGGGAAAGUAGCUUGCUACUUUUGCCGGCGAGCGGCGGACGGGUGAGUAAUGCCUGGGGAUCUGCCCAGUCGAGGGGGAUAACUACUGGAAACGGUAGCUAAUACCGCAUACGCCCUACGGGGGAAAGCAGGGGACUCGCGGGCCUUGCGCGAUGGGAUGAACCCAGGUGGGAUUAGCUAGUUGGUGAGGUAAUGGCUCACCAAGGCGACGAUCCCUGGCUGGUCUGAGAGGAUGAUCAGCCGCACUGGAACUGAGACACGGUCCAGACUCCUACGGGAGGCAGCAGUGGGGAAUAUUGCACAAUGGGGGAAACCCUGAUGCAGCCAUGCCGCGUGUGUGAAGAAGGCCUUCGGGUUGUAAAGCACUUUCAGCGAGGAGGAAAGGUUGGUAGCUAAUAACUGCCAGCUGUGACGUUACUCGCAGAAGAAGCACCGGCUAACUCCGUGCCAGCCGCCGCAGUAAUAC
rnacentral:rRNA from 1 species